CAGCGCCACGAGUGGCGAUCGCGUUUAUUGGGCCUAAAGCGUUCGUAGCCGGUUUGGUAAAUCUUUUGUGAAAUCGUCAGGCUUAACUUGACGGCUGGCAGAAGACACUGCCAAACUUGGGACCGGGAGGAGUCAGAAGUAUUCCGGGGGGACCGGUAAAAUGGUAUAAUCCCCGGAGGACUACCGAUGGCGAAGGCAUCUGACUAGAACGGAUCCGACGGUGAGGGACGAAAGCCAGGGGAGCAAACCGGAUUAGAUACCCGAGUAGUCC
rnacentral:rRNA from 1 species